GGUUAAAGGAUUCUACGGCGAGGGUUUAAGCGCAUAAACUGCUUGGAGAAGGACUUCUGACAAGGCGGCUAUCUUGAUAGAAGCAAUUCUCUUUUGAAACACUUUCAUAGAAGUCUUCUUACAAAGCAAAUAGCAUUUCCUAUAGCAUUUCCUAUUGAUUUGUCCCCUGGACUGGUGGACCUAUUCUGAUUCUGAAUUAUCCGUCGCUACGCUGUUCCCAAGGACUAGCAAAAUCGAAAUAGCGAAAUUCUUGGGUCAUCUCAAUGGGUUCAGAAACCACACGUUUCUCUGGAUCAUCAUAGCGUACUUGGACAUAUCCACUCAGAGGAAGGUCUUUUCGUAAUGGAUGACCCUCGAAACCAUAAUCAGUUGAUAUACGGCGUAGAUCCGGAUGAUUGAUGAAAGAAACACCAAACAUAUCCCAAACUUCUCGCUCCCACCGGCCGGCUGAUGGAAAUAGACUUACUACCGGAGAUAUUCGUGUUACUUCGUCUGCACUGGUUUGUACACGAAUGCGUGAGUUAUACCGAGUACUCAGUAAAUUAUAGACCACUUCAAAUCUUCGUUUUCGAGAGGGAUGAUCAACUCCGCAAAUAUCGAUCGAAACUUGAACCCUUGUAUAGGUAUGCAAUUUGAGAAAGCACAACAAUUGAAAUAGGUAGUCCGUAUUGGUAUCAGAUCUAUUCCCAUGUUCCGAUCUUUCCAUUUUUUUGACCCAUUUCUUGGGUAAAGUCUCCCAACUAUAUUUGAAAAUGAAUUGGUUAUCCAUAAAGAUAAAGAAAGCUUUCUUGUAGUUCCGCUUCUUGCUCUUCAAAUUCUGAAAGACUCGUCGGAAAUUGCCGGUGCCGGUUGGUCCAACCAAGAAAGGCAUGGGAGUCUUUGGGCAUUACUUGGGUCGAGUUAAGUAAAGACUGGUUACCUAUAAAGAUCCCUUACUUUUUUUCGCACCGGACAAUCUAAUUUGAUUGAAAGCGAAUGAUCAAAUUCGUGGAUCGCCUGCCAUAUUGGACUUUUUGUUUUUCCAAUACAGGCGAGCACGCUUUUGAGAUGCCCUAGACGACUCGCAUUUGAAAGGAAGCUGUGCAGAUCGCUUAAGUAGGCUUAAAUACCUAUGCGAAUAUCGCUCUCCUCGAUAUUUAGAUCUCGGAGAUCCCUUUCUUUUCCUUCAAUUAAACUUUUGAGAGUUCCUUCUCCAUACAUAUCGAGGGCUUUAUCAAUGAUUCUUUGGAUCUUUUGUUCGCAAAAGUGGAAAUGGCGCUCUGUGAAUCGCCACUCCUUAGAUGAAAUCAGAUCUUUCCACACUUUAUCUUCAUUUAGUUCCACAGUUCUAAAUAGAUCAUCUGGCUUUCUAACAACAUAACGGAUGAAGUCCCCCCCACGGGUAAAGUCUGUGGAACUUGCAGCAUAGGGACAAUUCCUUGUCCCACCUCCUGGAUUACUCCAAGAAAAGGUUCGACCAUUGGCAACAGUUCGGAUUCGAACAUUGUCUAUCUCGUAAUCAUUUGAUUCCGUCUGACUCCUCCUACUCCUCCUUUCCGAAAAGAUUAUCCUUGGUCCUUACUUUUGACAUAAGAUUCUCGGCCCGCUUUAUCCCCAUUAACCAAUUACGUUACGACCACUGAACAAACUUGGUUGACGAACAUGGUUUAUGAGCCGCUAAUGUAGCGGCUUGUCGAGCAUUUGCCAAACUCACACCAUCCAUUUCAAAUGGGAUUUGUCCCGUGGACACACGAGCAAUCCAACCCGUAGGAUUUCCUUUUCCUCUUCCCAUUCUUACUUCUGUGGGUUUCCCGGUAAUAGGGAGAUCCGCGAAAACUCUUACCCAUAUCUUACCAUUUCUUCGGAAUUGUCCGCUCAUAGCACGAUGAAAGUGUCCGAUUAUAGCCCGACGCGCUGCUUCAAUGGCUCGAUAUGAAAGACGACCAGCUUUACAACUUUUAGUGCCAUAUCUUCCAAAACCCAGUUUUGUACCAUCCGGUUUGCAACCCCUACUACAUCUGCCUUUACGAUAUUUACUAUAUUUCGUACGUUUCGGAUAUAGCACGUCUCCCUUUUUUUUGACUAUAUGAAAUCCACACUUUGACACCUGAGAUUCCGUAACGAGUAGAUACUUCCGCAGGAGCAUAAUCGAUUUUAUGGUUAAAUACAUUACGAGAAGUUUUUCUAUGCUUAUAGCAUUUAGUUUGAGCUUUUUCUGCUGCGUCUUUUAAUCGACCGGAAAAACAUAUACGGAUUCCCUCCACCCCUUUUGGAAUCUCCUUCACUAUUUUAGCAAAAAUGGAAUGAAAUGAUCUUCUUUUGUUCUUCAGUUGAAAAGAGAUGUCUUGAGCAAUCGGAGAAGCGCUUUGAUAAACAGAUUUUAUUUUGACUGACUCAAUUAAGGUCUUAGUGUUUGUUCUAUUAGACAAGAAAGAUCGCAUUUUUUUGACUUCGUAAAAAUAAGAGUUGUACCUGUACGGAAUUCCUCUCUUUCUCAGUAUGAUCUCUAUCAUCAUAUCUAUUACCUUUAUCAAUUCUUCUAUCCCACCUAGGUUUUUUAAUUUCUCUAUCAAUUCCAUUAUCUUAUCCUUACCCACGAGGUUCCAACAUUUGACCCUUAAUUGAUUGAGGAGUUGUUCCCGAGCAUCAAGGUUAUUAUACACCCCAACCCCAUCUCUUAGAAAGAAAAAGGUAGCACCGAAGAAUGGAAAGAGCGAGAUGGUGGUUUUAGUUGUUCCCGCGAAGCGAAGAUCAUUCGCCAAGCGAAUGAAGUGGGUCAACCUAUUUUUGGCUUCGGCCAAACACUUUUUCUCGCUGGUCGAGCUUUCUACAAAAAAAGCGAUACGAGAACGUAUUCUCUUCUGUAAGCUUCUUCCCUGUGCAUUCGCUCUCCCCAUCGUAGAUGGUUCAGCGGCGCCCGGUGCCACGAAAUGAUUGAGAACUACGACGGGGUCGAAAUUAAUUUGGUUCUUUGUAUUAAAAAAGUAUUGCAUGACCAAAAAAUUCAAGGAGGGGCGCACUGCAGGGAGGGUCCGUAGAUAACUCGUCGGGCCGUCGGAGCGGGACUUAUUUUGGAAAAAUAACUUGAAUAACUUCGUUUUUUUGAAGGAGUCGUCAUUUUCUAUCAGGAACGCUAUGUCAUUUACAACCCCGGCGUAUUUCGGAUGCUUGAAGGCCCCGCUGAUCCGAAGUGAUUUAGAAAGAUUCUUCUUUAUCGAGGGUAAUCGGUCAUGGUAUCCAUAGCGUUGUUUUUUUUUCGGCCAACCCCGGAUUUCGUUUUGCUUUUUUCGGUCGUCGAGCCUGAUCGACUCGACUCUUUUCCUUGCCCCCCGGCCUCUCACUUCGUUUCGUUCUUCUUCUGUAUCGUCGCUUGAAUGAAGACACUCGAUCGGCCCGGCUUUCCCGAAUGUCGUCCACCACCGGCCCUUCUCCUUUCCGGGUCUAGUUUUUUCACGUCGUUUCAGUCGUCGUGGUCGACGGGGAAGAAAGAAAUGAAUGAAUGUUCUUUUAGGAAAAUGUAGAAUAAUACACCUACCGAGACGAAAGCCGAAGGUGAGUCUCGUAGGUGGACGUAUCGAACCGAAAUAAGAUCUCAGAUUGACAUCUUGAUACACAAAUUUACCAUAAUAAUAAAUAGAGUCAAUAGUGACCCCGCCGUAGAAAGAGCCGCUUAUUUUUUGCUUGAUAGGGGGGCUUCCAUUCACCAACAAAGACUAAAAGUGCUCUCCGAACCGUGCUGGAUAGUCACCCAUCACACGGCUCUCAAACCCAACCUGUGGUGGAUCCCGGGAGACAAAGUAAAAGCGCUUGAUCCUUUGCCCCAUACUUUGAGAUGCUCCUCCCCGCGCAGCACGCUGCUCGUGAGAGGCUUAGCUUUAAGUUUAAGCUGCUAUCGUUCGGUUCGGAUAAGUCAAGUCCCUUUGAUCGGUUCGCUCAGGUGGUCUUAUCUUCCCUAACGUUCAGAGUCGUUUUGGUUUGAGAAAGGAGCACCGGCCGAGCGCCCUGAAUGAAUAAGAAAUGGACAGGAGAGAGAAUCAAUGAUUCUUAUUCAACCGAGUUGAAGCUAGCAACAUGUUGAUUACACACCGGAGGUUAGUAAGAACUGAGGGCAAUGCCCUCCUAACCUAAGUAGGCUACCCGCGCUGCGAAGCAACUGGUACUUGAUUGGGGCGGGGGGCGGUUUGGUUUCGUGCAAGGCCCUCGCAACAGGAAGAGGCAGUUGUCAUUAACCUUUCGCCUUUAUUGAUAUAAAACAAGCUUACUUACCGGCAACAAGCACCUUUUUUUCUCAAAGUAAAGUUUCUCGCUUGUUUCUUUAGAAAGAUUGCAGCCUUAGCGAAACAACUUAUCCUUUUCUACGAAUCUUCCCUUUAUUGAGCAAAAUUCUAUCUAUAUUUAUUCCCGGAAUAUUUUCUAUUUCAAUUCUAUCAUUUGUUUGACAGCUUAAACUAGGCUUCAUUUUAGAUAGGUUUUCGGUCUCUUAAUCAAAAUCGGUCAGGGGUGCCGUCGGAACGGUCGGUGGCUGCUUAGUCUCAUCCGAGAGUCUAAUCUCUUUGUACUGCUUUUUUUCAAAGAAAAAAAAAGAAGAAAGGGGUCGAUUUAGGCUCCUUCCCUUCCACUGCAUAGCUACGCUAACAGGUACUACGAGCCCUCUGUCCCACACAUCUAACCAGCUCGCGUGGUUCACCGGUUCCACCGAAAACUCUCAUUUGUUAAAACGGAGCAUAGUGCGCUUUAGGCGCCGAGCGAGAAACCUCUCUUCUUUCGUUUCGGUUUAUUCACUAUCUGAAACUUAGCACUUGUUUGAUUUUUCUUAUUGGGCGGCGGCGUUCUUUUUUGAAGUCUAUCCGAACCGAAUUAGCACUUCUCAGAUCAGACUAGGCCUCCCCCGCAGAGCUGGGCGCCGGGGACCUGGAUGCGCUAGCGAUCGGCGCAUAGGGGGGGUUAGUUGCCCGGGUUUCUCGGCCUGGUAUCCUACACCUCGCGUUAAUGAUAUCUACAUUCAACUGUGCCCCGGAGACACGGUCGAAGCACGCCCAUCCAAUGUGCUUCUUUCACGACAUGCUCUGGUUCCGGGUGUUUUCCAGUGGUCUUCUAGCGUUAGAAGAAGUCGUGUCCGUCCCGGACAUCUGCAACGUCCUCCCACGCUUUUUUGAAAAUAUAGGAUAAACUGAAGGAAAAGACUUACCCAUUCGGUGACUUUCGCGGUCGCCCUCACUGAACCGACUUGAAUCUGAACUACGAUUUUUUCCAAGUCUUACCGAAAUCGGAUUUCCUUUUCGUGCCAUAUUUUUUGACUUUAUGGAUUUCUGUCCCUUUUUUCUUCCCGGUACAAUAUUUGUUCUCGAAAGUCUGAGUUUCCGUGUACUCUCCAAAUUUAUGACCAACCUUCCCCUCAGUGAUCUUAGAACGCUACUACGCAUCUUUACUAUAUAGUGUGGUAAGGUAGGUUUGGGUAUAGCAGGACUUGAACCUGCGACCAUUAGGUUAAAAGCCCAAUGCUCUACCAACUGAGCUAUACACCCAAAUAAAGAUGUAGUAGUCAAUUAAGAUUGGUGCGGAAAAGAGAAGAGGUCUCAACAAGUAUUAACUAGUUGAUGCUGAUCGAACCCUCAGUUCGAAGCUCUUCGCCAACAUGUUACGAGGCUCCAGUCUUAGGCGGGUCACCAUUACUUGACUUAGCUUAGAAAGGCGAACAUCUGGGCAAGGGAAAGCGCAGUGCGCCUGGUCCUUUCGAACCAGUCUUUAUAAACCUGGUGCAAAUGGCUUUCUUUUUUUAUGAUAUACCAAUCAGAAUGGAAGGCCCUACGUACAUGAUUGAUAGAAGCACUACGUAUGGGGGGUCCACUUGAUGCGGGAGAGGCAUGAGUGCAGUUCGAUCUUGUGGUGUAUUCGUUUGUAGUGAGUAGGGCCUCUUUCUCGUUGAUCAGUUCGCCUCCGCUCUAUUGAAUGGUCCCCAUUCCUACGGCGGUUUUGUCAACGAAUGCGUCUCGGGCCGGAUUGACUAACCUAACCCUUAAGGUAAGGGGGCCUUGCCAUAGUUGGGUGCUCUGCUUUAGUGUGAUUGACGAAGGCGCUAGGCUAGGUUUGGUAAUACCAAAAACAAAUUAAAAGAGAUUGGAGUCGAUAGUUGGCAAGGAACUUUUUUCCCCUCCCCCCCCCAAAAAAAAAAAGGAGCUGCGGUCGAACUCUAAUUCUGAAAAUAAGUCGGGGCCCUUUUACCAAGUCUACUAGAUAGAAAUGAUAGAGGGCCAACCAUGGUUGCGUUGCACAAGACGGUGCCGCCUCACCUCGAGUUCCUUUCUUCGUAGUCAAAUCAGAUGAUAGGCUUCGGCGAUGUUACCUACCAAAUAAAAAAAAGGCCUGCUAGGUGAUCGAAAUCGCUCAGGUCAGUGAGGACUCACUCACUCAUCUACGUAUUACUAAUAAUUUUUUCUAUCUACUGAAUUAAAGACCCGCCACGCCGGGCUAUAAGAUACAGCUGUUGUACUACUUGACUGGUAAGAAAAAGCUAACGUAAGAACUGGAAGAGUCUUGUAUGUACAGUACCCCUCUCUUCCGCUAUUGGUGGACUGUUGAACAGAAAGGCCGACAGAAGCAACCUUUCUUAGCGCGCUUUUCAAGCGCUUAGCUUUUGCUAGCGACGGGGCGGCAAGGCUAUAAAGUAAGUAAAGUUGGAAGCCUAAGCCAAGAAGGUACGAACGAAGUGACGGGCCCCUUUAGAGAUAGGAUAGGGGGCUCUUGUGGUAGUAAUUGCGAACAUCUCUCUUUUUCUCGUAGUGUGCACAGUUUGCUUGCAUGCCGCCUUAGGCACAUCUCUCUUUCUUAGUUUCAUGCUUCCUAAUGAACGAAAGUCAGUCUUUUAGUAAGCGUAUAUAAGCAGCAGUUUAGUGUAUAAGCAAUUCUUUAGUGGCUGUGCACCGAAAGGUACGUACGGUGGAGGUUGGUUGAAGAUGAUGUUACGCGGCGUUCAGAACCAGCCUUGAAGUGAAUGAAUUAGAAAGAAGAAGUAAGGAAAUGAGACGACUUUUUCUUGAACUAUAUCAUAAACUGAUCUUCUCCUCCACACCAAUCACGAGUUUUUCUUCAUUCCUCUCGUAUAUCGUCGUAACGCCCUUAAUGCUAGGUUUUGAAAAAGACUUUUCAUGUCAUUCCCAUUUAGGUCCGAUUCGGAUCCCUCCGUUGUUUCCUUUUCCUCCUGCACCUUUUCCUCGAAAUGAGAAAGAAGAUGGUACACUCGAAUUGUAUUAUUUAAGUACUUAUUGCUUGCCAAAGAUCCUACUUCUACAAUUGGUGGGUCACCGGGUUAUUCAAAUAAGUCGUGUUUUCUGUGGUUUUCCCAUGUUACAACUUUCGUACCAAUUCGGUCGAUCCGGAAUGGAUCGGUUAAACAUUCCAUUAGGGAGCCUGGUCUUGACUCUUCUGUGUGGUAUUCAUUCUCGUUCGGCUCUUGGAAUCACAUCCAGCAGUGGUUGGAACAGCUCGCAAAAUCCAACCACUUCACCUACUUUAUUGCCCCUAACCGUUUCUCGUACCUCUAUUGAAACAGAAUGGUUUCAUGUUCUUUCAUCGAUUGGUUAUUCCUCUCUGUUCGUAUCUCUUUUUCCAAUUUCGGUCUCGAUUAGUUUACAAGAUUAAAUGGCCAAUUCUCUUCUGGACCCUCGAUUCUUUAGUUUUCCGAGAAUGUUGGGCCGGGUAUGUAAGCCAUGUAUCUAGGAGGAAUUAGAAAGAAGGGCUUUUGUUUUUUUGCAUCCUGUGUUGUAUUGGUCUUGCAGCUAUAUAUUAGAAUAAGAAAUAUUAUUCUUGUCUUAUAUUAUUAUAUAAUACAUAAUAAUAUUAGAAAGAUGGUACAUAAUAUCUCAUACACGUACAUAAAGAAGUUCCUGCAUAUCCUCUCUAAUAAUGUAAUUAAGGGCUAAGGGAGGUUUCUUGGGUACAUUAAGACAUAACUCGACAUCCCGAAAUCAAGUCGGCGGCUCUAUUGCUCUCCCUCCAACAAUGUGUGACUCUAAAAAACAAACUGCUCUGGCAUUUUCAGUGAAGCUCAGCAGCAUAUUUCGCGCUUAUGGGGCUUGGAGUUAAUCAUCUUGACUGCAUAUAAUGAGUCAGACUCUACCCAAAGGUUACGAAUGCCUAUUCGCGAAGCAUCUCCCCCGUAUGGCGGAUUGCAUAAAGUUCCACCUUCAAAAUAUCUCUCCACUCAACCGUCUUCCGGAAAGCCCAAAGAGGCCGAUAAAGUCUCUUGCUAUCACAAGCCGCACCGCAGCAGCCUCUAUUGCUACUGAACCGUCUGUGUUCACUUUUGUUUACGGAGGGUUCGAAGAAGAGUAAGAUUCAGCUGAGCAGGGUAACCAUGCAUUCCCAAAAACGGAGUUGAGUGCAAAAAGAGUCCAUAACUCUCAGUUUAAUCUGAGAGGAAACCAAAUGCAGUCUCAGUUUUACUUUUCCCUUACAAUUCUCCAAAACUACGUUCUGCUUACAGCUUGGAUUCCCUUCAUGGCGCCUGGAAUUUCUCUCACGCCCAUAGUAUAUGACUGCAGUAAAGCAGAGCUUUAGGAUCAGGCCAGUAAAGGUCUAAUUCUUAGUUUUUCUAUUUUAUAAUCCAUUGGCAAACAUCAUGAAGGUUGGUUGCAGGCUGAUCAUAUCUACAUUUCGAACUGAGCUGAGAAAAAACCCACCCUGCAUAGCUGCACUGAAGAGAUGUUCGGCACUUUCAUCUUCAAGCAUGCACAGGCCACAAAGAGUCACGGUGUUGGUUGGGAUAAAAUCUGCUAACUCGAUCUGCUGAAGCCCAGAGUUGAGGGCCAUCCAGGCGAUAAUACUGUGGCUUGGGUUGGGGAUAUUAAAUUUAUUCCGAACGAUGCCUGCAUAGUCGACCUUAGGAUAGGUCUGCCUAAUGAGGUUCCAGGCUGUUUUGGAGAAAAAAAUUUCCAUCCGGGCUGAGAGACCAAACGAUCCUGUCUUCAACAGGGAGAAAAAAAAGAGUUCAUACAGGGCAAUCUCUUGCAUUAGACACUGUCCAGCCAUUCUGCGGCUAGGAGGAAGGGUCCAAUGCAAUGCCCAUUUUUUAUUAAAUCGCUUACUAGAGCAUGGGUCCGGGAGACCUCUUUCCCUUAUAACAGUGACCUCGUACCUGUAGCUGAUCGGGCCAUUUCUAAGCCACGGACAAUGCCACAGCUUCGUGCUUUCGCCAUUAAAUCUGACACUUUAUAGUAUUAUAUUAGCCACAUCUUCCCUUACCGACACUCCUCCAAGACUAAGAUCAGUCGGAUGGAAGCUUAGCCACCAAAAUAGAAUGUCUCCAGAGAUAUCUCAAAUUAACCCAUUGAGUCCAAAUGGACCCAUUAUCAUUAACUACUCUCCAGAAAAGCUUUAACAUGGCAGUCCUAUUCCAGCCCUCAAUUGUUCUUAAACCCAAUCCACCUUCAUCCUUCGGUCUACAUUGGACCAGCUGAUCAUAUGGAUCUUAUAGGUGGGUUCGGGGCCUGACCAAAAGAAAUCCCGAAUGCUCAAUGAAAUGGAUUUCUAUAUCUUCUCCGGAAGCCUGAAAGCGGACGACCAAUAGAUGUGAAGGCUUGCAAGCACUGAGGUCUGCAAGCCUUUCAUGACAGCAGCCUUCUUUUCUUUUCCAAUUUAAAAUUUGGCGAUUGAACUUGUCCAAGAGGGGGAGACAGUCAGAGUGUCUCAAUCUGGUAGAUACUAGGAAAAAAACCAGUAUUUGAGAGGGAGCUGCACCUCACGUAAGCCAAGAGUACGAAUGAUUUUUAGUUUUACUUUUUUUUAACUGGUGGCCGAGAAUGAUAGGGAACAUUUGGCUUUAUUAAUCCAAAGACCCGCCUAGCUGUGAAACUAAUUCAGCACUUGGUUGAUGACCAACGCAUUACGCACGGAGCUCUCCGCGAAAAUGAGCACAUCAGCAUAUAUUAUAUGAGAAAGAUAGAGUUUAUGAAAUCUUCUUGAAUGGGUUAUCCGCUUGUUGUUUACUUCCCUGUUAAAAAGCUGGCUGAAUAUUCAGGGUAAAAAGAUAGGCUCUAAGAAACUUGUCUCAAUCAAACCGCGGCCCCCCCUGAAGAAGCUAGAUGGAGAUCCGUUAAUCAUAACUGCAAAUGACACUAUGGAGAUACAUUAUCUAAUCUAUCUUACCUAAAUUGAAGGAAACUUCAAGGAUUCAAGGGUAUUGAGGACAGCAUCCCAAGGUACUGACAUGACUCGACUGAAAGGAGAGGUGCUUUAGCAACUCGACUUAAAAGGAGAGGUGCUUUAGCAACUCGACUUAAAAGGAGAGGAUAAGAAAAAGCCAACUUGAAGUUCAGUUACUUGCCUUCCCCAUUCUUUCGAAGUUGCUAGCAUUCUCUCUCCUUUGCUCCAAGGGAAUCUGUAAUAGUAAACCACGCACAGAUGCUAGGAAUGAAGCCAGCCAAUGCCCCUUACAUUACAAGAAGAUCGCUAGUAGAAGAAGAUACCCACACCCACGGCCAGAGAAUAGGCGAAUAGGGGAAAAACAUGAAUAGGGCUUUUUGAAAUAAAUAGGGUUUGCGCAAUUCCAUUUCUAAUAGAAUGCCGUCUUUAGCAAAAGCAAAGGAGGAAUGAUCUACGAAUGCCGGGCAUGAUGUAUUAGUAUUACCCGAGCUAAGUGCGCUGUUUUCAGAACAAAUGCACAGUGAAUCUACGAAGUCUUCCCCUUAAUGUUAAUGUCCUAAAGCAGGAGAGAGUUAAUCAACGGGUAGCCCUCUGUCAAUCUCUGAUGGCAUCAAAAAUCCGCAAAGUGACAAAUCAAAAUAUGAGAAUCAACAGCAGUCUCAGUAAGAGUAGCACGUUUUCGACCAGGCUUAGGAUAACCGAUUCUUAUUUAUCAAGCCCUUCUGUAACAGAACUAGCACCGCUUACUUUGACAACAGGGGAUGAUUUCACAGUGACUUUAUCUGUAACACCGACAAUGAACUCACUAGAAAGUCAAGUCAUCUGUCCCAGAGCCUAUGAUUGCAAAGAACGCAUUCCUCCUAACCAACAUAUCGUUUCUCUCGAACUAACAUAUCAUCCAGCUUCUAUCGAACCAACGGCUACGGGUUCUCCCGAAACAAGAGAUCCCGAUCCUUCUGCAUACGCAUAAGCCGUUUCAUUCGCCGAAGCAUCAGUCUCAAGAUCCGAAUCCUAUGAAUCAACUGGAUCAAUAUUCGCAACCGAUGCAACAUCUGAUUCUUUUAUGGUUUUGGUUGCUGGACCUUUCUCCGCCACCGUCUUUUCAUCUAUCAGUUAAAUCAGUUGACCUUUCUCUCUUCUCUCUCUCUCCUCUUUUUCUCCUCCUUUCUAUUUCUUCUCUUAUCUUUUCUAGGGUUAACAAAUUUGGUAUCAGACGCGUAGGUUACGCAAUGGCACCGAAACCAGAUCCCACUGUUCUUCCUGAUCUUCAGGAGAAAAAGGCGAUCCUGGGAACCCAGAUCGAAAUGAUAACCCAAGCCAUGACAACACUGGAGUCUCGUGUGACAGAUCUGCAGCAAGAAAGCAACGACCAUAGGACUUGGGUCAGGGAAGCUCUAGACAAGUUGUUGAAGAGGGAUUUGGGAGAUGAAAACAGGCCGAAACCCACUACCAACAAGAUGAUAGCAACAGGCGAGCAGCACAAGGGAGAGGUCUCGACGAGCCUCUUCCACGAUUAACGGUUCCUCCGAGACAAGCUCCCAACGGAAAGAGCUCACUUAGGCUUGAUAGCUUUGAUGUGAGCGUUUGUCCAAUUCAAAGAUUCUAAGCUCUCACAGCACUGAUUUCCGAUGGAAACUACAGACCUUCAUCACAGAGAAACUUCCAGGAAGAUGGAGGGUUCUCGUACUCGCUUGGCGGGGGAUGAAGUAAACCCUCUUUCUGAGCAGCUAUCGAGCCUAUUAGCUUCUUGCCCGCAUCCCAAAGUACGAUUCCCCCGGACAACCACAAUGGUUACUCAACUAAGAAGCAAGUCCUUCAAAGAGACAGCUUUACUUACCUUUUCUCCCUAGAUGGAACAACUCAACUCCUUACUUAGAUUUCAGGGGGUUAAGGUAGUUGACUUUCUGGCUGAUAAAUCAGGUAACGAAGCCUAAGAUUUAGAUGACUGAUUAGAUUACUAGUUUGUUUAACUGAGAUUCCCCGCCUAAAUCCCAUAUCUUAAAGUAAAGACUAUAACUCAACAGCAAGCUGCCUUUACUUGGCUUCAAGUCCCAUAAGAGAAGGAAGAAUAGCUAGAAGCUAGAGAGUAGCUGCCUAGCUACAAACUCAAAAGCCUGGUGAAAGGAAGGCCUUUUCCUUACUUAGCUUAGAGUCCCAAAAGGUGUUAUAAGCUGGAAGCUAAGAAGCUAGUCGUUUAUGAGUAGGAGUUCCAUCGGUCCAGAACUAGAAGUCAACUCAAAACCGCUAAAAGGACCUAUUAUUUGCCCUAUUAGGACCUAUUAUUCUAAAGUACCAUUGGAGCUCCUUUUCCCGACAACAGAUCGGAGAUUUUACUUUCUCAAGUCAUACGUCUUUUGUUCAGCCAACAGUGUUCCGCUCUACUUAUUAUUACUUACUAGCGCCCUUCACUUCAACUCAUACAUACUACUUUUUGACUUUCAGCUCAAAUCAAAGCUACUUGCUUAUAAGAGAAGAGCAAGGUGCGUAGCUGGCUUGUUAAAAAGCAUGGAAAGGUAUCCAGAAAGCACAGUAACAGCUAUGAUAUAGGCACCCUCUCGCCUAAUACCCACUACUAAGGAUUGAAGUAGCACAAUCGGCUAUAGAACUCCAGAUCUAUGAAUAGCCAGAGCCUAGCUUGAUUACUGGAACUAAACAGCAAGCUGCUCCUACCUUACUUAUCGAUAAGGAGUACAGGGACUGAGUCGACUUCUUUUAGUUCUCUUUCCCCUAGCAGCCUUUCCUUCUUGCUUAGAGCUUCUAUUCCUUUUGCAUUGCCCAUCAUUCUACUCAAAAGAGGACGAAGGCUACUUUCGGGACAUUGGUUGCAGCGAUUUGUAGACCAAUAGCAAAAGCAGCAACGAUUCGAUGCUCUCUUCCUCCAAGAGCGCAUUCAAGGUCUAAUGAAAUUCCCGGAUCGAGCAUUCUUGGGCUAAGUAUUCACUGAUUCAAGAUUUCCGGUCCACGGUAACCGAUACCCCUAUUAAGCAGCAUACACAUUGAGUCAACUCUGUUCACUCCGAGGCCAUUCAAUCAAGGAGAUAAGCGCUGAUAUUCCGAUCUGCCUAAUUCGUCGAGUCUUCCGUCGGCGAAGUUUUUCAUUUCAAAAUAAAGUGGAAACUGAGGACUGGGCUAAGUCUUUAAUUUCCUCUAUGUGAGGAAUUACAUUCGCCCUAUAGAUCAAGGAGAGUUUCAGCAUAGAUGAAGUAGUGCCCUGGUAGCUCUUCCGAGGGCUGGUGCUUUCCUUCCCUCCCGGGCGAGAAGGGUAGGUUUUUAAUCCUGGCUCUCUUCUUUUAUCUUUUUGGGGGUUCUCCAGUUUCAUAAUUAGAAAUCUUGAGCAGAGCUUGUGCAGCACAUUAGUUCACUCUUUGGCAAUCCUUUGAAUCUUCUACUAGUGAAGCAGCCCUAGCGUAGCAAUUUUAGUUUUCCUUCCUCCACACACUUUCGGUUGAUAAGUCAAGCACAUAAAAGGAUACUUCUUUUCGGAGGGAUUUAUGAUGGAUCACGGAUGUUCCAACAGAUGGAUCUAUCGGGAAUGAAGAAAUAUCGAACAGGCCUACGUCUAUCCAAAUGCUAAGCCUUGUCACUAGCCAUCUAUGGUAUCCUCGGUAUGACGAUGAAUGUCUCUAACCUAGCUAGAGCCCUGUUGAGAUCCUAUUCUCUCGUAUAGUCAGCUACUAUAGACCCUAUUCCGCCCUUUCUUUUCUACAUUCCUUUAUUGAGCCGAAUCACCAUCAUUAUAUUAUAUAUUCAUUGUUGGUUUGGCUGCUGGUCUAGCGAAGCAACCUCCUUCUAUAGUUUAUUUCUGGCUGGCCUGUCGGAGUCCUAUUAUUGUAGAUGACAAGGAGCUAUAUAAUCCCUCUUCUUUUCCAAGAACAACGACAUGCUCUUAGAUCUGGAAGGCUAGAAGAGAGUAGCUCAUGCCCUAGAAGUCCGAUCGUAUAAUAUCCAAAUGUUUCCCCCGGAGUGGUUCAAGCUUAUGUGACCAAAGCUGGAAAGAAAGAUUCUUCUAAACUUUACCCAAACCCAAUGCCUGACCAUCGAUGGUAGAGCGGUCAGUAUGAUGACGGAGAGGUCCUGUCUUCAAAUCCUAGGCGGGGUUCCUUAGAAUGAUCAUACUCACGAAGAUGGCAUCGAAAAGCUAAGGUAAAGGCAAAGCUACUCCACCUUCAAUUGUAACUAGCCGGGCAUCAGAAAGAGCACGAGGGUAAUGCCUGUAAGACAGAAGCACUUCCAUUUUAUGGGCUCUCCAACUGGCUCAAAAUAAGGACUGGGAGGCAAGGAAAGGAGAAAAAAUUUCUCACUCCCGGAAGUUUUGGUAAGGACGUCAAAAAUAUACGUCCGAGGGUUCAAUUCAGUGAUCGGAUGCCCCCGGACUAAAGUCAAGAUUUCAUACAUAUCGAAAACAAUAGCUAGAUACUCUGCGGGACCUCUUUGAGAAGCUCUCACUGUUCAUACAUUCUUUCUAAUUAAUCGUUUUACCGGGAAUACUAUAGUGUAAGAUUCAUUCCUUUGUUCACAACAAUUGCCCGCAAGAUGUUUCUCUCUACGUUGGAUGAUCGGAGAUCCAUGGAUCACUGACGGUAUCUUCCCAUGGCUAAGCGUCUAAAAUACUUUACUAUAUCGAAGAUUUCUCUCCUAAAGUGUUUUCCCUUUGUCAGAAACAACCUCAAGCUUGGAAUGGAUCUUACACUAUUGGUUUACCGGCCUACGCGGAUCGUACGCAAUGUACCUGACCUAGAUUGCGAGGCACUACUUGGGCCCUAGCUUCUCGAUGCCAAUUCCGUAAUGAGGCUCUUCUUCGAUUAGAUUGAGAUCUGAUUUUCUUCUCUUACGAUAUUAUCGAUUUCUAGAUUGAAUAGGAAUGGGUCAGCACGGUGCAGCGGCAACUUAAAUAUAUCUAAACGGAUUGCGUGGUACCCCCGGACCGAAGGAAGGGCUUCAAAAAUGAAUUGAAUCAAUGAAAUGUUGCUUGGUCUUCACUGAGAACUUGAGUAAGGAGUAGAUUCUUUUGGGGUAACUCGAAAAAGGCUUUUUUCUAGGCAAUCGACCACUGCAUCUGCAUUUCACAAAAAGAUGGUUCCGCUCGCCACAAGCAAGCCCUUCCCUUUACAGGGAAGCUUUCACCCUUCCCCAUCGAGUCGAGUAGCCUCGAAUAACUCUCUUCUCCCUCUUUACUUUCGCGUACUCCUCUGUCUCUUUCUUCUGUCCUUUGUCCUUCUCUUCCGAGCAGUAGCAGCAGCGGUAGAGUCGGUAAGUCAAUUGAAAGAGAUGCUCAUCUGCUCUGGUUAGCUCGGUAGAGUGGCAGGCGAAAUCCGUCUCUCUUUAUAGAUAUAGAAUAGGCGGCUAGUCACUUCUUACUCGUGUAGUGAGAAAAUCCUUCUUUUUUUCAUGAUAAUAGUUUUUGACUCUUUAUUUUGAAGCAAGGUGGAUCUAUACGGGAACCGGUAAGUAGAUAGUUAGAAUCGUAUUCUUCUUUCUUCUUGAUUGUUUGCACGUUUGUAUGAGAAUAAAGCUCAUCUCCUUCGGUAAGCACAUAUAGGGUAUCGAGCCCUCGGCGCUUGAGAGGACCCCGGGGAGCUCUUCUGUGAUAGGCUCCGAGUUCCUGACUCUACUAGGCAACUAAGACAUUAGAUGAGGGAGUUGCUUGUCUGUUUAGCGCUCUGUAGUUCAUAGAUUGGAUAUUGAAUUCUCCGAAGAUGAGUCUCCCUCGAGCCUUACUUCCAAGCACUGCUUCUAUAGUCAACAAAGAAGUAGGGUUUCAGACUUCGUCAUGAGUUUGACCUUCUGUUCUAAGAAAGAAUGCCUGAGCUUCUGUAGCGCGAAGACAAGAACUAGUCAAUUUAUUAUCUCCAAUCUGGAAUAACCUUCUUCCUCCAUCCAUACACUGACAUCAGUUACUGAAAACCGAGAUAUGGGCAUAAAGAAAAUAAAACUCUUUGCUUUGAAUAGCUAUCCCGUCGUACUCAAGGGAUGAAGGAAGUGAAGUUGAGUUUCCUGCCUCUAUCUUCUAGUUAUGUACCUUAUAGCCCGCCUAGUCCCCCUUUUGGGAGGAGUAGUGCCAGUAAGGGUAAGACUCUCAUAUGAUCAUUCCUAGUUUCCAGCCAUCGAUUGAGUUGCAGUCCUUUGCUCAACCAGUUACACGCCUGUUGAAUUGGACUUUUUUCAAAUUGACCCUUCAAGCAGUCUUACAGCCGAGUCUUUCUUUGUUUAGUUCAAAGAGGAGUAGAGGGUUUGCUGGGAAUUCCUGGUGGAAAAAGAUCGUGAAAUGGCAAUGGCUUUUAUUAGUCAGAUCCGCCCUUCUCGGUGGUCGUUAGCAGCUGCUAUUUGAAAUCCAUUCCCGCUGCUGUCGUCAACGGUAGAACUCUUCGGGCAUCCGUCCGUUCUUCUUCUGUCUGAGGCAAAGGCGAAUCCCUUAUACUGUAUACGGUCGAGCUGGCUUGGCUGGUACAUCAAGCAUAUCGGCAUAUUGCUUGUUCGGUGUGGUACACAUAUCUGUCAAUGUCAAUCAAGUAAUAGAAUUCAUUCCCACUGUCUGAAGAAAACGUGAAUAAUUGCCUGUUUAUGAGCUUGGAAGACCCGUUGAAGUCCCCGAAUAAAGGGGAAAAGGCUAUAAGUAGGCCGUUUGCUAUUGCUAGAAGGGCUGCUCGCCUUUAUACGGCUUGGCUUCGCUAUCGCUCCUAUGUAGUGAUCGGCCUCAAAAGUGGUAUUCCUGCCAUACAAGCCUAUUUUUUCUAGUGCUAGAAGCUUCGCCAGAAGCAAGCAAGACGAGGGAGCGGAGCUUCGUAGACAAGGCUCGUUACGUACUUGACUGACGAGCUGUCUACUAAACGAGCGUUAGAGCGAGCGAGUUAAGCCUCUAAAGUUUGAUAGCUCUUCCCCCUCCCCCCCCUCCCUCACCUUACUCUUAAAUUUCCGCUUAAGCUUCCCCGGUUUGGGGGAUUAAUUGAUUGGAUACCCGAGAACCAUAAUCUUUCCUAGGAACAGCUUCUACGACGAUAGAUAGGGGUCAGCUUUCUUUGGCAUCUAUGCCCCCUGCCCUCCAAACAGUAUGGGAGCCUUUCAGCUCGUACUGCUCACACUCCUAGAUCUUCACGGCACCUCCUCCACCAUAGUGUGAGCUGCUCCCAGCGGAGAAAAGCAAGGCCUACUUCCUAAUUAGCUUUCAACAACGUCAACAACACCACGAAAAAAGUAAACAAUGGUUGCCCACUAAUCUGAUCAUAGGUGAAAUCCAAUCCCUUCGCUUCGCGCCAGGCUUUGAAACCGUAAGUCAGGCUCCUUUCGCCUCUCCUUUCAGUCGAGUCACGUCAGUACCUCUCAGAAGCGAGAAAGCGAGCAGCAAGCUGAAAAAAGGAGAAAGUGGUUUUAUAAAGCAAAAUAAGCUAAGGGGGCUGGCUAGGAAUCGCAAGAAUUGAGAAGGGUGGGAAAGACAGGUUCGGUAAUGGCCGGAUUAGCAGGAGGAAGGUCUUGAAGAGCCUGAAACAAAGAAAGGUGUACAUAAAAAAAGAGGCUGGUUAUGGCCUUUACUUGAUAGGACUCCUUUCCCAUCCCGGGAAGAGGGGAUAAAAAAAACCUUGCGGAAGCCCUGCCCACCCUUCCGGAUCCCUCAUAUUUAUGAUUCCAGGCUUCCCGGACUCGUAAUAGACGGCUAAGAACAAGAAGAGGGUCAGUAGUCUCUGCCGUUGCAGGUCCUUCUCCUUCCGCUGAGACGGCCCUCUUUUUUUGUUUGUUCACCGCGGCACGAAAUCGAAAUCAUGAAGAAGCUGGAAUAACUCAGAAAGAGAGUGGCGCCUAGCCGUUGAGAGCGUCUAUUAUCUUUGUAGAGGAACAGUACGAUCUUGGACUGGCCCCCUUCGCAUGACCUAGAAAGAUCAAGAAGUCCAUGCUACUAUAAGGCCUCUAAACUCCUCCCUCAGGACACUAUUGCCCAUGGGGACGGGGUAGCCCCGACUUCCAUAGGUCCUUGGUUCGACCUCCUAAUGAGAAUUGAGGUCCUUGCGCGGGCGUCUCAUCCCUAAGACUUGCUUGCUCUGUAUGGAGUGCCCUGUGGUUCCUCGAGUGCCAGCCGCAGAGAGGAAUGCCAUCAACUAGGGCGCUAUUGGCCACUAACCACUCGCUCGCCAGCCGCUCGGGCUCCGCGUUUCAAGUUCGUUAUCCUAACCGUCCCCUCUGCUCCACCGGGUGCCUGGCCCUUUUCUUCUAUCUUAUCUACUACCUUGCUCCUCGGCUCCCUACAGCUCCAGCCGCUCACUGUAAUAGCUUGCUUCUCGGGUGGCUCGCACCCCGGGUGGUGCGGCUGAGCCAGAGUGGGGCUCAACAGUCGGCCUAUGUUUCCGGGCGCACGCGUAAAGGCAUGAUUAGUUCCACAAAUCUCACUGCACUGACCAUAGUAAACUCCUUCUCGUUGUACCAAAAUAGAGAUUUGAUUUAAACGACCAGGUACAGCAUCACAUUUGACACCUGAGGAAGGUACAGCCCAACUAUGAGGUACAUCAGCAGAUGUUACAAUAAUACGUAGAUGAGUUUUGGCUGGUACAACCACUCUAUUGUCCACUUCUAAUAAACGUGAUUGACCCAAUUCUAGAUCUUCUUCUGGAAUCAUAUAACUGUCAAAAGUGAGUGACUGCUCAUCGGAACUGUUAUAGUCAGAAUACUCAUAAGUCCGAUACCAUUGAUGUCCAAUAGCUUUGAUAGUAAUGGCUGGAUCUACUACUACCUCGUCCAUUGAGUAUAAGAGAGCAAAUGAUGGUAUAGCAAUGAACAUCGAGAUGAUACUAGGAAAGAUGGUCCGAAGAAUCUCGAUAGUAGUUCCAUGAACAAUCCUUUGCGGGAUUGCAUUUUUUUUAUAGUGGAAAUGCCAUAAAGCGCGAACCAAGAUCCAUAAUACGAAAACCAAAAUCAGAAUGAGGAAGAAAAAGAUAUCGUGAUGUAAGUCUAUUAUUCCUUGCAUUAUAGGUGUAGCUGCGUCUUGAGAUCCUAAUUGCCAUGGUUCCGCUGCAUCACAAGGAGAAAUUGUGAGGAAUAACCAUUUUAGAACAAUCAUUUUCAAAGCAAAGGUUCCUUCAUUUUCUGCUCCCCCCAAACAAAGAGAGACUGAUUCUGACUCUCCCAAUUAAGGAAGACGGAAAUGGCUGGUGCCGGUUGGUCCAACCAAGAAAAAAGAGAUGGGAAUUUGGGGCGUAAGAUUCUUCUUCUUCUUACAAUAUUUUGAGUUAGAUGAACAGAUCACUCUCCUAAAAGCAGCAGUCUUCUUAUAUACGAAACCAACAUCCUUAUAAUACUACUAGGCCCCACCACACUGAAUUAUGAACUUUGCGCCUCCAGGAGGGUCAAGGCAGAAUUCCAUUCCUAUCUCCUUCGUCUGGUCGAGAAGGGACUCUGACUCUUCUAUUACUACAGUACAGAGGAUUAGUCCCAUUUUUUCGUCACGAUCGAUCCACGUCCGGGCUUAGAAAGCUAGCUUACUAAGGCGAAGGACCGCUUUUUAUUGAUUGCACGAGCUAAGAACAGAUCCACAAUCUAUUAUCUAAUGAAUAUUCAUUAGAUAGCUAAUUAUCCUUUGCCUAGCUGCCCAUUGCUAGAACUUCCAGCGCUAAGGUGGUUGGUGUGGUAAGGCAAGGCAACUCCUCUUUCCUACGCUAAGCGCAAAAGGCACUCGAAGGAGUACUGGGACCAACCAUCACUACCAUAGGGUUAUAGUGGUAAAUCCUGCCACCUCAGAUUCUUAUUUUACCUUACGUGUCAACAAGCAAGUUGGGAUGCUCUCCCUUAACGUGGUAGGGCUCUGUUUCAGGUCUUGACGUUGGCCUUAUUAAAAAAGGCAUCCUCGUCGCAGCAAAGCCCGUGUACAAUGCUCAAAAAAAACUGAGUCAAAAACGAGACUUUCACAGGAAUAACACAUCUUUCUAAACAACAACGGGUUCUAAUAAAUUAAGCCUUGUCAUGGCUGGUUGAGGUUAGAAUUUCAUAAAGAUAAAGGUGGGUAGAGAAGGCCGCAGUAGAUUCUUCCGACCGAGUCCCAGUGGCAGAGUCUUGAGGCACGAAUCCAACG
rnacentral:lncRNA from 1 species